CUUUGGGAUAACCCUCGGAAACGGGGGCUAAUACCUGAUAUGACCUCCUGUCGCAUGGUGGGGGGUGGAAAGUUUUUCGGCCUGGGAUGGGCUCGCGGCCUAUCAGCUUGUUGGUGGGGUGAUGGCCUACCAAGGCGACGACGGGUAGCCGGCCUGAGAGGGCGACCGGCCACACUGGGACUGAGACACGGCCCAGACUCCUACGGGAGGCAGCAGUGGGGAAUAUUGCACAAUGGGCGGAAGCCUGAUGCAGCGACGCCGCGUGAGGGAUGACUGCCUUCGGGUUGUAAACCUCUUUCAGCAGGGACGAAGCGUAAGUGACGGUACCUGCAGAAGAAGCGCCGGCCAACUACGUGCCAGCAGCCGCGGUAAGACGUAGGGCGCGAGCGUUGUCCGGAUUUAUUGGGCGUAAAGAGCUCGUAGGCGGCUUGUCGCGUCGACUGUGAAAACCCGCAGCUCAACUGCGGGCCUGCAGUCGAUACGGGCAGGCUAGAGUUCGGUAGGGGAGACUGGAAUUCCUGGUGCAGCGGUGAAAUGCGCAGAUAUCAGGAGGAACACCGGUGGCGAAGGCGGGUCUCUGGGCCGAUACUGACGCUGAGGAGCGAAAGCGUGGGGAGCGAACAGGAUUAGAUACCCUGGUAGUCCACGCUGUAAACGUUGGGCGC
rnacentral:rRNA from 1 species